AUUGAACACUGGCGGCAGGCUUAACACAUGCAAGUCGAGCGGGGGAAGGUAGCUUGCUACCGGACCUAGCGGCGGACGGGUGAGUAAUGCUUAGGAAUCUGCCUAUUAGUGGGGGACAACAUCUCGAAAGGGAUGCUAAUACCGCAUACGUCCUACGGGAGAAAGCAGGGGAUCUUUGGACCUUGCGCUAAUAGAUGAGCCUAAGUCGGAUUAGCUAGUUGGUGGGGUAAAGGCCUACCAAGGCGACGAUCUGUAGCGGGUCUGAGAGGAUGAUCCGCCACACUGGGACUGAGACACGGCCCAGACUCCUACGGGAGGCAGCAGUGGGGAAUAUUGGACAAUGGGGGGAACCCUGAUCCAGCCAUGCCGCGUGUGUGAAGAAGGCCUUAUGGUUGUAAAGCACUUUAAGCGAGGAGGAGGCUACUUUAGUUAAUACCUAGAGAUAGUGGACGUUACUCGCAGAAUAAGCACCGGCUAACUCUGUGCCAGCCGCCGCCGUAA
rnacentral:rRNA from 1 species